GUACGGGCCAUAUUCGGAAGCUACAGAGGUCACCACAGCAGCAGGACCUCCAGGCCAGUGCAGAGCACCUUCCCUGUCCUUCCUGUCCGACACACAUGUACUUGUGAGCUGGGAGAGUCCUGAAUGUUCUGGUGCUGACAUCUCUGAAUACAGAUUAGAGUGGGGAGAAGAUGAGGAAUCUCUACAACUUGCAUAUAGUGGCACAGACACCUGCUUUGAAAUAAGUGACUUGGCAGCAGCAGCACAUUACUGCUGCAGACUACAGGCCAUUAACCAGGCUGGAGCUGGACCCUACAGUGACCUGGUGACCUGCAGAAUCCCUGCGUCGGUGCCUGAUGCAGUCUCCAUCCUCUCCGUGCUGGAGGAUGAGCACGUGGAUGCCUGUCAGCUCUCACCCUCUGUGUGCCUUGUACUGAACUGGGAAGAGCCAUGCAAUAAUGGGGCUGAGAUUACAUCCUACAACAUUGACCUGGGUGACAUCAGCAUUCCAGUGGGAAAUGUGACGAGUUACAUUAUCGAUGAUUUGCUUCCUGAAACCUCAUACCGCAAGAACACC